CUCCAUGAAGCUGGAUUCGCUAGUAAUCGCGCAUCAGCCACGGCGCGGUGAAUACGUUCCCGGGCCUUGUACACACCGCCCGUCAAGCCAUGGAAGCCGGGGGUGCCUGAAGUGCGCUGCCGCAAGGAGCGCCCUAGGGUAAAACCGGUGACUGGGGCUAAGUCGUAACAAGGUAGC
rnacentral:rRNA from 1 species